rnacentral:misc_RNA from 1 species
GAUGAACAACGCAGCGAAAUGCGAUACGUAAUGUGAAUUGCAGAAUUCAGUGAAUCAUCGAGUCUUUGAACGCACAUUGCGCCCCCUGGUAUUCCGGGGGGCAUGCCUGUCCGAGCGUCAUUGCUGCCCUCAAGCACGGCUUGUGUGUUGGGCCUCCGUCCUCCUCCCGGGGGACGGGCCCGAAAGGCAGCGGCGGCACCGCGUCCGGUCCUCGAGCGUAUGGGGCUUCGUCACCCGCUCUUGUAGGCCCGGCCGGCGCUUGCCGACACAUCAAUCUUUUUUCCAGGUUGACCUCGGAUCAGGUAGGGAUACCCGCUGAACUUAAGCAUAUCAAUAAGCGGAGGA